UUACCUGCUUUUGUGACUGCAUGGUACCCAAGAAAUCAACUGGCCAGUGUUGGUCAGCUCAGAGUUCACCUUAAAAGUCCACACUCACCGAGCGUCUCAACCGAGAGCUCCAAAAGAGAAGUCAAAAGAGAAAGCCGAGACCCAGAGAUAACAGUAAGAGCUAGACAUGAGCCUCCAAGUCCAAGCCUGGCCAUUAUAGCCUUGGUGACCUGCACGUACACUUCCUGAUGGCCUCCAGGAGCCAGAAAGUCUGAAGUAACCAGAUGGCCACAAAGAGAAGCAAAAUCACUGGUUCCUGCCUCAACUGACUGCUCUCCCCCUGCAACAUUCGACCACUGUUCCUGCUCAGCCUUAUGAAAUUUCCCCCUCGGCAUUAGGUUUCUCAAGACCCCCACCCCUGCACUAUAUAAUUUACUGCACCCUCCCCUCUACUUAUAACCGAUAACCCCCACCCUAUGACCAUGCCUGUUGGUAAUAGAUGACCCCUACCCUUGUGACUUCCUCCUCCCUAAAAUAGAUGACCACCUUUAACUGACCAUUUGCCCCAACCUAUGUAACAGUCCCCGUUCCUACGCCCUCACCUAACUCCUUUCUCGGACUUGGCCUGCAUGCCCCCAAGAGCAAAAUAAAACGGCCUGGUUGCCCACACAAA